UGCUCUUCUUUCUCUUCAAACCGUAUAAAUCUUUUGCCUUUUACUAAAGAUUUCCGUGGAGAGAAAGUCAAAGAGUUUACUUGAAUUUUUUGAUGCUUUACUCUUUAGUAAGGCU